UACGAAGGGGGCUAGCGUUGCUCGGAAUUACUGGGCGUAAAGGGCUCGUAGGCGGCCAACUAAGUCAGACGUGAAAUCCCUCGGCUUAACCGGGGAACUGCGUCUGAUACUGGAUGGCUUGAAUCCGGGAGAGGGAUGCGGAAUUCCAGGUGUAGCGGUGAAAUGCGUAGAUAUCUGGAGGAACACCGGUGGCGAAGGCGGCAUCCUGGACCGGCAUUGACGCUGAGGAGCGAAAGCCAGGGGAGCAAAGCGGG
rnacentral:rRNA from 1 species